CCUACGGGAGGCAGCAGUGAGGAAUAUUGGUCAAUGGGCGCGAGCCUGAACCAGCCAAGUAGCGUGAAGGAUGACUGCCCUACGGGUUGUAAACUUCUUUUAUAAAGGAAUAAAGUGAGGCACGUGUGCCUUUUUGUGUGUACUUUAUGAAUAAGGAUCGGCUAACUCCGUGCCAGCAGCCGCGGUAAUACGGAGGAUCCGAGCGUUAUCCGGAUUUAUUGGGUUUAAAGGGUGCGUAGACGGCGUUUUAAGUCUGCGGUGAAAGUCUGUGGCUCAACCAUAGAAUUGCAUUGGAAACUGGGAGGCUGGAGUAUGGUUGAGGUAGGCGGAAUUCGUGGUGUAGCGGUGAAAUGCGUAGAUAUUAGGAAGAACCCCGAUGGCGAAGGCAGCUUACUAAGCCAUGACUGACGUUGAUGCUCGAAAGCGUGGGGAUCAAACAGGAUUAGAUACCCGGGUAGUC
rnacentral:rRNA from 1 species